UCCUGGUUAACCCAGGCAGUCUCGUCAGAGUGCCCAACUUAAUGCUGGCAACAGACGAUAGGGGUUGCGCUCGUUGCGAGACUUAACCCAACAUUUCACAACACGAGCUGACGACAGCCAUGCAGCACCUCUCACUACAUUUCCUUGCGGACACUCCGUCGAUUAAAACGGAUUCGUAGGAGUUCAAGCCUAGGUAAGGUUCUGCGCGUUGCUUCGAAUUAAACCACAUAAUCCACCGCUUGUGCGGGCCCCCGUCAAUUUGUUUGAGUUUUAGUCUUGCGACCGUACUCCCCAGGCGGAGCACUUAAUGCGUUAGCUGCGUCACUGAGGGAGUCAAUACCCCCAAUAACUAGUGCUCAUCGUUUACGGCGUGGACUAC
rnacentral:misc_RNA from 1 species